rnacentral:rRNA from 1 species
GACGAGCCACCCGAACGUUAUUCGGAAUUACUGGGCUUAAAGGGUGCGUAGGCGGUGCAGCAAGUCGGGAGUGAAAUACCUCAGCUUAACUGAGGAACUGCUUUCGAUACUGCUGUGCUUGAGUGAGACAGAGGUAAGCGGAACUUAGGGUGGAGCGGUGAAAUGCGUUGAUAUCAGGAGGAACACCCGUGGCGAAGGCGGUUCUCUGGGACGGUACUGACGCUGAGACGCGAAAGCGUGGGGAGCGAACAGG